UCUUUUCCUCGCAGCAAUUCACUUCCUUCAGUUCCUUCCCGCCAAACAAGAGAUCAAUUUCAAGGGCAUUUCUGAGACGGUGAUUUUCCGCACCGAUCGAGAUGUACGGAACUCCAGGAGACAGCUUGAUGAGUUCCCACUUGAACUCCAAGCAUCGAUCGAAUCACACAAGCGACGUUGCGAGCAUAUUGGCUACGUACUUUCCGGAUGUUGAUCUAUCAGCCGAUGAAUCGAAAUCCAAGUUGAAGGUCACGUCCGAUCUUGUUAGCCUCUUAUCUACCCAAGCGGGACAACGUCUACUAUCUCAGGUAAAGGAUAAUGAUGGCAUAUGUUUUCUGCCCUUAGACUUCCAGCACUUCCAAAAAAUAUGUGAGCAGCAGGAAUUGUAUACAAUGUUUGCGGAAAAGCCUAAGGAAGCUUUGUCAUGCAUGAGUGCUGCAGUUCACAAGGUCCUGUCUAUUAAAUUGGGGGAUAACAUGUUGGAUGAAGACUCAAAGAUAAAUAUCCGUCUCCACAACUACCCUGAAUCAAGUAUUACUUUGAGGAACUUAAAAGCAGCUUAUAUUGGCAGGCUUGUAUCAGUGCGUGGUACUGUAGUAAAAGUUAGCACUGUGAGGCCUCUGGUCAUACAAAUGAGUUUUUCCUGCACGAAAUGUGGAACCAACAUUAUACGUAACUUUCCUGAUGGAAAAUUUUCACCACCACCGACUUGUGUCAUGCUUGGCUGCAAGAGCAGAACUUUUAAUCCAGAUAGAUCUACUGCUCGAACCAUAGACUUUCAGAAAAUAAGGCUUCAGGAGUUGCUGAAGCCUGAACAUCAUGAAGAAGGCCGGGUGCCUCGAACUGUAGAAUGUGAAUUGACUGAAGAUCUCGUGGAUGCAUGCAUUCCUGGAGAUGUAGUUACUGUUACUGGUAUCAUAAGAGUGAUAAACAAUUACAUGGAUAUUGGAGGAGGAAAAUCAAAAAGCAAGAAUCAAGGAUUAUACUAUUUGUACCUGGAAGUAGUUUCAAUUAAAAAUUCCAAGUCACAACAUCUGCCUGGGGAUUUCCAAGACGCCAAUGCUGAUGCUAGAGCUACAGAGCUGUUGGAUUUAUUUACAUUUUCUCCAAGAGAUCUGGAAUUUGUUGUUAAGUUCUCAGAAGAGCAUGGACCAGAUAUCUUCCGCCAAAUUCUUCAAUCUAUUUGCCCCUCCAUUUAUGGACACGAGCUCGUCAAAGCUGGAAUAACAUUAGCACUAUUUGGAGGUGUGAGAAAACAUUCAAUGGAUCUGAACAAGGUCCCUGUCAGAGGAGACAUCCAUGUCAUAAUCGUAGGUGAUCCUGGACUGGGCAAGAGCCAAAUACUGCAAGCAGCUGCUGCCAUUUCUCCACGUGGCAUUUAUGUGUGUGGCAAUGCCACAACCAAUGCUGGCCUUACUGUUGCUGUGGUGAAAGAUCCUAUGACAAGUGACUUUGCUUUUGAGGCUGGUGCCAUGGUGCUUGCAGACCGUGGACUAUGCUGUAUUGAUGAGUUUGAUAAAAUGUCUGCAGAACACCAGGCUCUACUGGAAGCUAUGGAGCAACAGUGUGUCUCCGUUGCAAAAGCUGGAUUGGUGGCAAGUUUAUCAGCUCGAACUUCUGUUUUAGCGGCAGCAAACCCUGUUGGUGGUCAUUACAACCGUGCAAAAACUGUCAAUGAGAAUUUGAAAAUGAGCUCUGCUCUUCUCUCACGAUUUGAUUUGGUUUUCAUAUUGCUUGACAAACCUGAUGAGUUACUGGAUAAGCAGGUCUCUGAGCACAUUAUGUCACUUCAUGCUGGGUCUGGAGAUCAUUCACCAGCUACAAAAAAGUUGUGUACAGCAUCGUCAAAUGGUCGAGACACUCGCACUAGCAUACAAAGUGAUUCUUUAGUGUCAAAAUUGAGACUUGACCCUAAGAAGGAUGUUGAUUUUGCUCCAUUACCCGGUUCGCUACUUCGGAAAUAUAUUGCUUAUGCAAGAACUUUUGUUUUUCCCAGGAUGUCAAGGCCAGCAGCAGAAAUUCUACAGAAAUUUUACUUGCGAUUGAGGGACCAUAGCACAUCUGCUGAUGGUACACCAAUAACAGCAAGACAACUAGAAAGUCUAGUAAGGCUGGCUGAAGCUCGAGCUAGGCUGGACUUAAGGGAAGAAAUAACUGCCCAAGAUGCUCUGGAUGUUGUUGAAAUAAUGAAGGAAUCCUUGUACGACAAGUACGUAGAUGAGCAUGGUUUUGUGGAUUUUGGUCGGAGUGGCGGAAUGAGCCAACAGAAGGAAGCAAAACGAUUUUUAAGUGCCCUGAAUAAACAAUCAGAGUUGCAGCAAAAGGAUUGUUUUUCAAUUUCUGAAAUUUACAGUUUGGCAGAUAGGAUUGGCUUGAGAGUUCCCGAUAUUGAUACAUUUGUGGAUAAUCUAAACAGCGUUGGUUAUCUGCUUAAAAAGGGGCCAAGGACUUAUCAGGUGCUAUCAUCUUCUUAUUCAAGGAGCCAGUCUUUAAGGUGAAGGGGCUAAUUUCGCCGCACUGGAGAGUUGGUUCCUCUUUCAUUCUGAUGCUAGGUGCCAUCUAGUUUCUGAAAUGAAUAAUUGUCAUCAGGAACUGUAGCCGCACCCCACUAGAAAAUAUUUCAGGAAUCAACCUACCGAUCCAGUUGUUGAUACAUGUUUUGUGAGUAUAAUCCAUCACAUGUACUUGCAGCUUAGAGAACCUUAAAAAUGUAGCAUUGCAUGUGGGCAUUUUGGAAAUAUAAUGCUCAUGAUAAUAGGUUGCUUUCUUUCCUGUUUUUGUAAUAUAGGUGUUUAUUUUCUGAUGGCCAGCCAUCCUUUGUAUUAUAGGUGUUUAUUUUUGGAUGGGUCAAAAACUCUAGCAACUGGUCUCUGAUUGUCACCAAAUUUGGGGAAUGUGAAGUGACCUCUACAUGCAAAGACCACGCUAGUGGUGCAAUCAGAUUUAAGUUUUGACGAGUUCGAAAAUACGCACUUGCGCGCGUCAAG